rnacentral:rRNA from 1 species
GGAGGGCGCAAGCGUUGUUCGGAAUUAUUGGGCGUAAAGAGCGUGUAGGCGGUUCGGUAAGUCAGAUGUGAAAGCCCUGGGCUCAACCCAGGAAGUGCAUUUGAAACUACCAGACUUGAGUACGGGAGAGGAGGGGGGAAUUCCCGGUGUAGAGGUGAAAUUCGUAGAUAUCGGGAGGAAUACCAGUGGCGAAGGCGCCCCUCUGGACCGAUACUGACGCUGAGACGCGAAAGCGUGGGGAGCAAGCAGGAUUAGAUACCCUGGUAGUCCACGCCGUAAACGAUGAGCACUAGGUGUAGCGGGUAUUGACCCCCUGCUGUGCCCGUAGCUAACGCAUUAAGUGCUCCGCCUGGGGACUACGGUCGCAAGACUA